rnacentral:rRNA from 1 species
UACGUAGGGUGCGAGCGUUGUCCGGAAUUAUUGGGCGUAAAGGGCUCGUAGGCGGUUUGUCGCGUCGGGAGUGAAAACACCGGGCUUAACUCGGUGCUUGCUUUCGAUACGGGCAGACUAGAGGUAUGCAGGGGAGAACGGAAUUCCUGGUGUAGCGGUGAAAUGCGCAGAUAUCAGGAGGAACACCGGUGGCGAAGGCGGGUCUCUGGGCCGAUACUGACGCUGAUGCGCGAAAGCCAGGGGAGCAAACGGG